rnacentral:rRNA from 1 species
GCCCCACCUUCUCUGUAACCACCGCUGCCAGGACCCACCUCCCCGCGCCGCUGCCUGCGCGCCGCCGCCGUGACCAAACUCCUCGCGCCGCCGGCCGCGUACCUCCACCGCCGCGACCCACCUCCCCGCGCCACCGCUCGCGUACCACCGCCGCCGAGAUCCACCUCCCCGCGCCGCCGCAUGCGCACCUCCGCCGCCGUGAACGACCUCCCCCCGCCAUCACCACCGCGCCCCAGCUCCACCGGCCCCGCCGACUCCUGGAUCCACUGGCACCGGCGCUGUCGCCCCAACCUCCGUCUUCCACUAUCGCUCGUGCGUCGUGGCCUCCUUCCCGGACCACCCCGCCGACUCAGAUCAUUGCCGGCCUUCUUCCCCUGCUUCCACCGCGGAGGUGGCCUCCGUCUGCUGUCAACCGCCGCCGCGACCUGCCCCAGGGCGCCCCCGCGACCUUCCCAUGGCGCCCCUGCGACCUGCCCUGAUCCUGCGUUCUUCCUUGUCGAUGGUAUCGAGCAAGCGCUGUCGGUCCUUGUGAGUGCGUGCGCGUGGCCAGGCUACCUGUAGCGCGAGCCCCCGGCCAAAUCCCACUCGCCGCAGCCGACCACGACCACGACCAUCCGCGGCGACCAGAGUUGCUCUCUGUUCGAUUUUUUUUCCACCAGGUUCAGAGUGACUUCUUGUUUGGUUUGGAUGGAAGGUGCUCGUCCAAAUGCCCCUCAGCAUACUUUUCAUUCCUAAAUAAAUAUUACUUGUGUUCCUGAUAGUUGUAACUCUGAACGUGC